GAUGAACGCUAGCUACAGGCUUAACACAUGCAAGUCGAGGGGCAGCGGGAUUGAAGCUUGCUUCAAUUGCCGGCGACCGGCGCACGGGUGAGUAACGCGUAUCCAACCUUCCGUACACUCAGGGAUAGCCUUUCGAAAGAAAGAUUAAUACCUGAUGGUAUGAUGAGAUUGCAUGAUAUCAUCAUUAAAGAUUUAUCGGUGUACGAUGGGGAUGCGUUCCAUUAGGUAGUAGGCGGGGUAACGGCCCACCUAGCCAACGAUGGAUAGGGGUUCUGAGAGGAAGGUCCCCCACAUUGGAACUGAGACACGGUCCAAACUGCUACGGGAGGCAGCAGUGAGGAAUAUUGGUCAAUGGACGAGAGUCUGAACCAGCCAAGUAGCGUGAAGGAUGAAGGUCCUACGGAUUGUAAACUUCUUUUAUAAGGGAAUAAACCCUCCCACGUGUGGGAGCUUGUAUGUACCUUAUGAAUAAGCAUCGGCUAACUCCGUG
rnacentral:rRNA from 1 species